rnacentral:lncRNA from 1 species
AUGCGCUCGCCCCUCUACUCCUCCACGCCCCGGCCCUUGGGUCCGGCUCGGAAGCAGCCCCGGAAACGACGGCAUUUGUUGGGGAAACAAGACCGGAAUUGACCAAGAACAGGAAGAGGAGGGGCCAGGCCUGCAAUUCCCAGAAUGCUCGAGGGCUAACCGACAGCCAGGCUGGCUUCCCGUGGUCUCAGCGCCACCUGCCGGAAGCCGCGAGAACAGCGGCCGCCUCAGGCAGGAAGUGCGUCAUCUCGCACGGAGGACGAAUGCCGUUCCCGGCACUUCCGGUCCUGACCGGAAGCGGUAACCGUCACUCCUUCUGGGCUCUGUCAGUGCACCGAGGCGGGGCUCCCCAGGAUCCCACGGUCCCGCUCAGGCCAGACGCAGAGGCAGUCCCAGCCCGCGAUGAGGACGUGGGGUCGUGACCGCUGGGCCACGGUGAAGGGGGCAGCCCUGCUGGACCCGCUAGCUGGGCCGACGCUUUCCCACCCCUAGGGGUUUGCUGGGCCCUGGCCGCAAACUUGUGGGGCGCCGUCCUCGGGGCCACUGCCCGGCCACCCUCACACCCUUGGGCCCUCAGCUCUGGUGCAUUGGUCCGGGCUCCGGGAGGCACUGAGACGUCCCCCUAGGGCGCUGCAGGGAAGCGAGGGCCAGGCCCUUCCAGGUCCCCGGUCCUCCCGGGCAGGAUGGAGGCUGCUGAACGCUCCUCAAGCUUCCAAGUCAGCCGUGGCUGGGCGGGCGGCAGCAGGGAAGGUUUGGGCUCCGCCAUGCUUGCGAGCCAGCAGCCUGGCCUCGCCUGUCCGCAGCAGGGGGCAGGUCAGCUGCCCGCCCUGAAAGGGAGGACCAGGGCCCAGAUUCUCCCUGCGACAAGCCGCGUCUUCCUUGGCCACUGGGCCCUAGAUGGUUGGCACCUUGUGCCCCUUCUCAGCUGGGAGAGUUCCUGCCCCACACACUCAAGGAUUCUGAGUUCUCCUUGGCUGCUAGACCUCUGGUCCCUCUGAAAGGCUCGAGAGAGAACUCCCCCAGGGCCUGCUGUCCUGGCAUCCGCUGGGAAAUAGGAUUCAAGGACCUGCUGUGGCUCAGCCUAGAAAAAAGGAGGGGAAGCAGGACCCACUCCUCGGCCCCCGGUCUGCUGUGCGCCUUUGGGAUUCCUUAUUUCUUAAACUGCUCUUCCCUCCCCACAGGGAACACAGCGGAAAGUAGAGAGGGGGCUCCUUGGACCAUUAUGUUCUCCCAACCAGUGCAGGCUUGCAAGUUGGGAGCAGCAGGGGAGGAGGGCCUGCUGAGAGACUCUGUAACCCCCUAAAAUGCAGGGCUGGGGACAGUUUCCAAAUUGGCCUGCAAAGAGGCUGCUGGGAGCCCUAGAUAUGAAUUCCCAGGCACUCAUUUCCUCCAGGGAACAGUGAAAUGUGCCAGCACCCCCCUCCCCACAACUAGGGAAAAGUAGCCUAACCCAGAGCAAGCCCCACCCCACGAUGUGGGGAAAGAUAGGAGAGUCUAGACCAAGCCCACUGGCUGGAGGUGCUCAGACAAAGGGAAAAGGACGGGGGAGUGCAGGGGCUCCUUAGCCCCACAGCCUGUCUGCCCCCAACCACCGCUCGCUGGUGGGCUGGGGGGGCUCCCUAGUAGGAUGAGGUCUUUCUUCCCCUCCAGACCCUCUGAGAUGUGGCUCAGGCCUGAGCCAUCAGCUCCUCAAAGGAACAUUUACAGGUAACAGAUGGGCAGGGCAGAGACCCUCAAAUGCUCGGGAGGGGGCAGUGUGUCCAUCCUUUACCAUCCCUCAGGAGGAAGAGGAGUCCUGCAGCGCACCCAGCCCCUACCCCAAGCCCAUCUCACUGCAUUCCCUGGCUGCCCGACCCCUCCUGCCCACCUGCUUACACUGUGUGCCCCUUGUGUGCCCAAGGGGCAGGGUGGAAGUGGCUGCAGGCAACACAGGGCCUCUCCCAAAAGAGAAUAGAGAGAACGCUCCCAAAAAGGGCCCUUGCUACCUGGAGUUGCUCCCUGGUUUAAACCCAAAGUAAAAUUCUAAGCAACCCCAACCAACUGAAUGGGCACCUCUUGGCCAAAUGCAUUCUAAAGUAAACCUGAAAAGCUCGUUGAGGCCAUGAUGACUGUGGGUGGCCGAACAUGCCUCAUAGGCACAGCUGACCAGCAUUCACAUUAAAACAGAGACCUUAGUCCGGUGUGGUGGCUCACACCUGUAAUCCCAAAACCUGGUGUGUCACGUGAGGUCAGGAGUUCGAGACUAGCCUGGCCACCGUGGCGAAACACCGUCUCUACUAAAAAUACAAAAUUAGCUGGGUGGGGUGGUGCAUGCCUGUUGUCCCAGCUACUCAGGAGGCUGAGGCAGGAGAAUCGCUUGAACCUGGGAGGUGGAGGGGAGGCUGCAGUGAGCUGAGAUCACGCCAUUGCACUCCAACCUGGGUGACAAGAGCAAAACUCUGUCUAAAAAUAAAAAGACCUUAAGACUCAC